rfam:Citrus sinensis cultivar Ridge Pineapple sweet orange scaffold00669_contig_8, whole genome shotgun sequence.
AUACUGUGAUGUGGACAUCUCUUGAGAAAUUCCUUAAAUCUUUCCCAUGUAUCAUAUAAGCUCUCAUCUUCAAGUUGAUGAAAAGAUGUGAUCUCGUUCCUUAAUUU